CAUCAUGUCUUGUUAAAGUAACGGGCAUAGUGCGUCAAUAUUUCCUCCCCCAAAACCCCAAUGUAACUGCCUCAAAAGCAACAGUAGAAAAGCAGCAGCAAAAUUUAAGCCAUUCUCCACUGAAGAGAAGCAGAAAAAUCAGACAUAGCAGAAAGGAACUGGGUAAAUGCUUCACAUACAAGCACACAGGCAUACCAGGUAGAGCCGUGUUGUCCUCAAGAGACAAGAAUCUGGAAAGCAGCAGAGGCUCGCUGUCAGCAUAACCCAAAAAGAGAGAGGGAAAGACCCCAGAAGAUGUUUCCUCGAGCAAGAGAUCCAGGGUGGGGAAGUUCAUUCUAACUUGCUGCUUAUGUUGCAUUUGUGUCUCUCCACCAAAAUCACCAGCAGGGCUGGCAAUUGAUGACAACUCCAAAGAGGGAAAAUAUUCAGAAGCAUAACACCAUUACCAGCUGUGUUUAUACCCCGCCAAGGGAAUCAUCUGCCCUAGCCUCUUAUCACUGUUUCAAGGAUACCUACAUAACAA